rnacentral:rRNA from 1 species
AUUGAACGCUGGCGGCAGGCCUAACACAUGCAAGUCGAGCGAGCGGCGGACGGGUGAGUAAUGUAUGGGAAACUGCCUGAUGGCGGGGGAUAACUACUGGAAACGGUAGCUAAUACCGCAUACCAUCAGAUGAACCCAGAUGGGAUUAGCUAGUAGGUGGGGUAACGGCUUACCUAGGCGACGAUCCCUAGCUGGUCUGAGAGGAUGACCAGCCACACUGGGACUGAGACACGGUCCAGACUCCUACGGGAGGCAGCAGUGGGGAAUAUUGCACAAUGGGCGCAAGCCUGAUACAGCCAUGCCGCGUGUAUGAAGAAGGCCUUCGGGUUGUAAAGUACUUUCAGCGGGGAGGCGUUACCGACAGAAGAAGCACCGGCUAACUCCGUGCCAGCAGCCGCGGUAAUUC